UAUUUUUGUUUGUAUAUCCUUAUUUCAGCGUUACGGAUAUGGUGAACAUAGGCAUUUUUCCAAAAACUACAUUUUAGCCGCCGGAGGCGUUUGUCAAGUAAGUAUGUAAGUUUUUCAUUUAAAUUUAUUUUUCAAUUUUAAAAGAACAAACAAUGUUUUUUUUAGAGUUUGUAAUAGAUUCGACUUCAAAGAUUCUGGCCCUUGUGUUAAUAUUAACGGCAAAUCUGAACAGGCGCAAGCGGACAAUUCGAUUUCGUCAUUUGAAGAACUCGGCCAUUUAGACUCCGAUGGCGAAGCCAAUCCAGAAGCAUUUAGUCACUCAGAAACGACAAUUACAGUCUUACCCAAUAUCAAGAUGAUCUGCGUUCACCGUUCACUAAGGCAAA